UGUCUACUUACGUCAAAUUGUCUUGAUAUUUAAGAGCUUUUCGGGAAAGUCAGUUUAAAGAAGACAGCGGAGCUGCGUCGUUGGCAAACACCCUGCCUUUCAGAGGUGAUGCUAACCCAAGAAGCCCACUAUUAUCUUUGCAAUUUCCAGUCGUCCCUGGAAGCACUUUGCUGCAGAGACCAGUGCCAGCUAUUAAGUAGAGGAGCUCAUUUUGAUGCCAGAAUUAGCUGAAAUUAAGAUCCUUUGACAUCUUCGUACAGAAAAAAGUCAGCUUCAGUAGAGACAAUCCGGAAUUUAAUAGAUUGUGGCAGGUUAUAAAAUUCUAUGCAUUUGAAAGAAAAGCUUUGCCGGUGCAAUAAUGUGUUUCUAAUUUACACAUAAUAGGUCCGUGGCGCUGUGACUAGAAGGACAUUAAAGUAAUGAGGAAAUUCCAGUGAUGGACACCUUAUGCGGCGAUCUCAGAGAUUGUGAUUAGGGCAGUCAUUUCCCUGAGUACCUCGUGUAGCUAAAACCAGAAGGAAGGGAUCUGGGACAAAGGAAAGGCCCGAAGAGCAUAGACUUCAGGAUGCAGAGUAAGGAAGGCAGUUUAGAGAAACCCACUCACCCUUGAAGAUGGAGAUAUUUGGAGCUGAAGUGCUGGGCUGAGUGGAUGCAUUGCUCCAAGGGCCACACUGGCGCUAUGCCACAGAGGGGACCAGUCGCCAGUGAUGUCAAUGACAAGAGCAGCAGUAUCACUUUUGUGACCGAAACUCUUCUCCAAUAAAAAGGAGACAUAUUUUGCUUUCUCUCCAUACCUUAGUCCCACCGAGUCACCCUUAUCAACCAGCGGUGAAGAAGACCAUACAAAAUGGCGCCGCCUACGGACACUUUCAUGGUUUUAAGCAGUCUUGUAGAUGUGUUACUUAAAAUGUACAGUAGAAGACAAGCAAUUUAGAGUGGAUAGUGUGUCACCUGGUACAACUCUGGGCAGUCAUUCUCACAUCACAGUGAAUGCAGAGAUCGAAACACACCUCAAGCAGAAAAACAAAGGACACCCCCCGCAGAAGCCGUGCGGUCCACUUUAGUGCCAAGCACACCCCCUGAACUCAGCUGAGUUGUCUAAGCUCUGAUUCUCUGGUCUGCUGAGGAGUAUUUGCCUAUAAAGUACACAUACACACAAUAGAUCUCAAAAGAAGCAGUUGGAGGCCACCGCCCGCCUGGAACUCUGUGAAGGCGUUGAGAUUACAGUUCAAGGAUGACCACAUAACCGCAGACAAAUGCUAUUCUCGGGUCAAAGAAGCCUCCCUUCCCAGUGAAUGGUAACGGAUGCAGAGAUGCGGGGCUGUACAAGGUGCUGAGACUAAGGGACAGAUGAACGGUUAGACCCUGAGCAAGACAUUUCCUCACAAGUUCACGGAGCAUUGGGAAAGAGAGGAAAGAAAGAAUCUAAGAGCUAUAACAGAGGGAGAGGGACUGUGAAAUGCCAUCUUCUGGGCAGGACGCUGCCACUGCAGUCACAGACUCCCAGGAGCAGCGGAUGCCUGUACAGACCCUGUGCAGGAACGAGCUAGUCAACAGCCAGGCGUGGGGAGAGGAUGGUUUCCACCCCUCACUGCUAAACCGUGUGCUACUGAAGGAUUCAGAGACAGGGGAGAGGUUGCCUUCAGGUGUGCCUCCACUCGUGACCCCACUGGGCUCCAGCGGGUAGUUCCGAUCCAAUGCUCACGCAGAUGGCAUUGGCUGAACUAAAGAGGGUUACAAAACCAAACCCGAAGUCACGAGUCUGGGAACGGGACCGGUGGAAAUAGGGAAUGGUGAAAUUCAUGAGUGUGGGCCAAAGAUAAGAGAAGACUGGUGGAGAAAGUUCUCAGAAUACCUUCUAUACAUACAUGAAAUUUUCAGUGAAGAAAAUUAAUCAUCAAAAUAUGAAGCUAUAAACAACUGACUUAGUGGUUAAGGCCUAUAAUCCCAGCUACCCAGGAGGUUGAGGCAGGAGGAUCUCUAAUUUAAGGUUUGCUUGAGCGGUAAAGGGAGAUCAGGCCAAUUUUGGUCAGUCUAGUGAGGCCCUGUCUCAAACUAUUUUUAAAAAAUGGGCUGGGAUGUAGUUCGGAGGCAGGACCCUUGCCUAUCAUGCACAAGACGCUAGUUUCAAUCCCAAGACUGGGAUUGCAGGGGUGGAUCUGUGCACACCUGCAAUCCCAGCACUCAGGAGGAUUUAAGUUCUAGGUCAGCCUGGGAUACAUAGCCAGACCCCAUUUAAAGACAAGAAAUGCCACAGAGGAAGUAGUAUAUGAACAGAGUUGAGGACAAAGGACUUGGGCCAUGAGCCUGGACACAUCUCCAGCAAUAAAAAUUCUGUAAGACACACACUGCAUUUCUUCCUGAGUGGAGAGAUGCCAAGAGUCAUCUUUAUCCUGUGCUUUUAUAUAUUUCAAGCUAAUUUUAAUAGUAUUUUUGUUUUACAUAGUACACCCUAAGUAUCUUUUCGAUACAUAAUCAAUACAAGUUAAAAUACUAAAAUAUUAAUUUCAUAUUUUAUACUUCUUUCUAUGUGAUGUCUUCAGAAUCUGCAUGUAUUUCUCAAGACAGCAUUAUUUGAAUCAGCCACAUACUAAUUAUUCAGUAGCUGUGUGUAGCCAGGGGCUAUUGACAGGGCAGAAAAUACCUUAGAGUUUGAGAAGGAGCCUAGAGAAA